rnacentral:tRNA from 1 species
GUCCUCGUGGUGUAGUGGUUAUCAUACUCUCUUAGGGUCAAGCUAUGGGAGUGGCCCCGCGUUCGAAUCGCGGCGAGGACC